UACGGGGGGGGCAAGCGUUGUUCGGAAUUACUGGGCGUAAAGGGCGCGUAGGCGGCUUUUCAAGUCGGGCGUGAAAGCUCCGGGCUUAACCCGGAAAUGUCGCUCGAUACUGUUGAGCUAGAGUGUGGAAGAGGCUACUGGAAUUCCGUGUGUAGCGGUGAAAUGCGUAGAUAUACGGAGGAACACCAGUGGCGAAGGCGACUACCUGGCCUGUUCUUGACGCUGAGGCGCGAAAGCUAGGGGAGCAAACGGG
rnacentral:rRNA from 1 species